GUGAAUCAUCAAAUUUUUGAACGCAAAUUGCACUCUCUGGUAUUCCGGAGAGUAUGCCUGUUUGAGGGUCAGUUUAAAUCAAAAUCGGUGUGGUUGCUUCCUUUCGUGGUCACGCAUUGGAUUUGGGACGCCUUGCCUUCGGUUAAGUGACUUGAGAUUUUGCGUGAUUUUUUGCGAACGUAUUCAAAUGUUUCUACGUACGUUUGCGAUAUCGAAUACUAG
rnacentral:misc_RNA from 1 species